UCUAUCUUUUUUCUUUUUACCAGUAUGAAGUGAACGGCAAAGUGGCUGAUUCAAUGCUUGUUAAUACCAUAUUGAUGCUGGUGUAUGUUACUAAGUUUUUUUGGUGGGAAGCUGGAUACUGGAGCACAAUGGAUAUUGCACAUGAUCGAGCUGGUUUUUAUAUUUGCUGGGGAUGCCUUGUAUGGGUGCCUUCUAUAUAUACUUCUCCUGGCAUGUACCUGGUCAAUCAUCCCGUACACCUUGGAACUCAGUUGGCACUCUACAUCCUAGUAGCAGGCAUUCUUUGCAUAUACAUCAACUACGACUGUGAUAGGCAAAGGCAAGAGUUUCGCAGAACAAAUGGCAAAGCUUUGGUUUGGGGUAAAGCUCCAUCAAAGAUAACUGCCACUUACACUACCACAACUGGGGAAACAAAAAGCAACAUUCUUUUAACUUCGGGAUGGUACGUUUUCAGGCUCUGCCAUGUAAAUCUGAACUAACUGGAUUUUUUUUUCUUCUUGGUUAUGAAUGCGGGGGGUUCAUAACCAAGAAGAAAUAUUAGCUGAUCCAAGUAUGGAAAAUACUGGAAAUUGUACUGCGAGAAGGUUCGGUACAGGGUCAUCCCCGGAAUUUACUGAGAAAAUGUUGCACAAGUGUUUGUUCUAUGUUGAGAAUGGCAUGUAUAUUCAGGCUUUCCAAAUUAAAUGAUGGCAGGCUGGUAUCAUGUUGUUGUUAUUGUUGUUUUUGUAAUGGUCAACUUUAUGGAUGUUGUAUUUCUCUCAUCUUCAAUGACCAAAAACUUUUCUUGUUUAGGAAAAUUACUAUAAAGUUUUGUUUCUAUUUUUCAUUUUUGAAGUAAAAAUUGUUCAAGAUUAUAAAA